AGGAGUUGAACAUCAGGUUUUGUUUUUAUCUCUUUACUCGGUUCUGGUUCUGGUUCUGGUGUUUGUCUGGAUUCCAGGUGUUAGAAAAUGUCCGCAGUUACCUGGCUGCUCUGCGGACUCUCUCUGCUCUCUGCUCUUCCCGUCUUUGUCUCCGCAGAUCAGACGAUCCGAGCUGAACAUGGACAGACAGUCGCUCUGCCGUGCCGCCUGACCAGCAGAGACCCGGUUCUGGUGGUGGAGUGGAGCAGAACCGAUCUGGGCUCAGAUUACGUUCUCCUGUUUCGGGACGAGCAGAUCGACCCGUUUAACCAGCAUCCGUCCUAUCAGAACCGGGUCGACUGAAGGACCUGGAGAACAGAGACGUGUCUCUGGUUCUGGUGGACGGGACGUCUGAUGACAACGGGACGUACGAGUGUCGGGUCGCUCAGACCGGAAAGAACCGCAGGAAGCAACUAAUUAGCUCCGUCCACCUGGUUGUAGCUCCGCCCCCUCCUUCAGCUCGCUUUGAGAAACUCACAGGAGACCAGAAAACCCGGACCGGAUCAGAGGAGGAGGGAGGAAGCCAGGAGCUGUUGACCUCUGACCCUACAGCUGGAAGUGAAGUUGAAGUGACCAAAUAUGGAGGAAGCCUUGUUGGGGAGGUGCAGCUAGCUGAAGCAUUGAAAGUUCAGUUCGUUCAACAGAACAAGGAUGGAGAGAAGAAGAACCAGA